rnacentral:rRNA from 1 species
UGGCGAACGGGUGAGUAACACGUGAGAAACCUGCCCCGAAGACCGGGAUAACCCGGGGAAACCCGGACUAAUACCGGAUACCCCUGCUGAAUCGCAUGAUUCGGCAAGGAAAUGGUCAGCCGCUUCGGGAGGGUCUCGCGACCUAUCAGCUUGUUGGUGAGGUAACGGCUCACCAAGGCAUCGACGGGUAGCUGGUCUGAGAGGACGAUCAGCCACACUGGGACUGAGACACGGCCCAGACUCCUACGGGAGGCAGCAGUAGGGAAUCUUGCGCAAUGGGCGAAAGCCUGACGCAGCAACGCCGCGUGGGGGAAGAAGGCUCUCGGGUUGUAAACCCCUUUCAGCAGGGACGAAAUUGACGGUACCUGCAGAAGAAGGUCCGGCCAACUACGUGCCAGCAGCCGCGGUAAC